GCCUUCACUGUAUGAAUCAAACCUGAAUCCAGCCAUGUUCCAAUGUGUCAUAGAUACCCUGGUUAGAGUGGGAUAUAAUGAAACCAGUAUUUUUUUGUGUGUGUGUUUUUUUUUUCUCUGCUAAAUAAUAUUAUUGCCCAAU
rnacentral:lncRNA from 1 species